GAGGCGGACUGUUGCUAUGCCGGCGCCAUGGACGCCGCACAGCGGAAAGCACAUCAUCACGCCUUCUGCUUCAGCGUGAAAGGCCACGUGAAGAUGCUGCGGCUGGCACUAACUGUGACAUCUAUGACCUUUUUUAUCAUUGCACAAGCCCCUGAAUCAUACAUAGUUAUCACUGGAUUUGAAGUUGCCAUCAUUUUGUUUUUCAUACUUUUAUAUAUACUCAGACUUGAUCGAUUAAUGAAAUGGUUAUUUUGGCCUUUACUUGAUAUUAUCAACUCAAUGGUAACAAUAGUAUUCCUGAUCAUCGUAUCUGUGUUGGCACUAAUACCAGAAACUACAACAUUGACAGUUGUUGGAGGGGCAUUUGGAUUCUUGGCAGCAGUGGUCUGUCUUGCUGACGGGGCCCUUAUUUACCGAAAGCUUCUGUUCAAUCCAAGUGGUCCUUAUCAGAAAAAGUCUAUUAGUGAAUAAAAGAUUGUUUUGGUAAUUGUAUAUUGCUUUUUAGUUUGAUACUAAGUAUUAAACACAUUUCUUUAUUCUUCCA